UACAUGGGGUGCAAACGUUGCUCGGAAUUAUUGGGCGUAAAGCGCGCGUAGGCGGUUACUCAAGUCGGAUGUGAAAGCCCUCGGCUUAACUGAGGAAGUGCACCCGAAACUGAGUAGCUAGAGUACCAAAGAGGGUCGCGGAAUUCCCGGUGUAGAGGUGAAAUUCGUAGAUAUCGGGAGGAACACCGGUGGCGAAGGUGGCGGUCUGGGUGGAUACUGACGCUGAGGCGCGAAAGCGUGGGGAGCAAACAGG
rnacentral:rRNA from 1 species